GACGAACGCUGGCGGCGUGCUUAACACAUGCAAGUCGAACGGAAAGGCCCUGCUUUUGUGGGGUGCUCGAGUGGCGAACGGGUGAGUAACACGUGAGUAACCUGCCCUUGACUUUGGGAUAACUUCAGGAAACUGGGGCUAAUACCGGAUAGGAGCUCCUGCUGCAUGGUGGGGGUUGGAAAGUUUCGGCGGUUGGGGAUGGACUCGCGGAUUAUCAGCUUGUUGGUGGGGUAGUGGCUUACCAAGGCUUUGACGGGUAGCCGGCCUGAGAGGGUGACCGGCCACAUUGGGACUGAGAUACGGCCCAGACUCCUACGGGAGGCAGGAGUGGGGAAUAUUGCACAAUGGGCGGAAGCCUGAUGCAGCAACGCCGCGUGCGUGAUGACGGCCUUCGGGUUGUAAACCGCUUUCGCCUGUGACGAAGCGUGAGUGACGGUAAUGGAUAAAGAAGCACCGGCUAACUACGUG
rnacentral:rRNA from 1 species